UUAAAAUGUACUCUGAUAAUCAUAGCAGCAGACAGGUACAACAGAGUCACUGUUAAAAUGUACUCUGAUAAUCAUAGCAGCAGACAGGUACAACAGAGUCACUGUAAAAAUGUGCUCUAAUAAUCAUAGCAGCAGACAGGUACCAUGGAGUCACUGUUAAGAUGUACUCUGAUAAUCAUAGCAGCAGACGGGUACCAUGGAGUCACUGUUAGAAUGUACUCUGAUAAUCAUAGCAGCAGACAGGUACAACAGUCACUGUUAAAAUGUACUCUGAUAAUCAUAGCAGCAAACAGGUACCAUGAAGUCACUGUUAAAAUGUACUCUGAUAAUCAUAGCAGCAGACAGGUACAACAGAGUCACUGUUAAAAUGUACUCUAAUAAUCAUAGCAGCAGACAGGUACAACAGAGUCACUGUUAAAUGUACUCUGAUAAUCAUAGCA
rnacentral:lncRNA from 1 species